AGCUGUGCAAGGUCACUAUUGAGAUCCCCCUUUGCCUUUGGCCACUGCUCUGCCGCCCAGAAUUUUUUUUUUUUUUUUUUUUUUUGCAGCCUGUGUCCUUGUUGCACUCGCCCAUCAUUGAUUCCUUUUGCUCCUUCCUUUGCGAUCCCAAUGUGAUGCUCCUCUGCGCACACACGACGGGCUGUUUUGUUUUUUGCAUGUGACUUUCCUGUUUUCUUCCACUAACCGUGCCAAGGAUUGGGUAGCCCGUCGUCGUCAAAUCGGUAUCUGAAGCUUCAAGGUGUCUUGAUGCCUGUACAGUAGCUAGCUAGCUUGUUCUGUUUGUUAGGGUUUGGGUUAGAAGAAUGUUUCAGUGACUGUCGGGGCAUUUAUCAAGCUGGCAUUUCACAUCACCUUGACCGAGAUGUUCCUGGCAAGUCCCAAUGAUUGGCGCCAAUCUAAAUCCAAAACUGGGCCACCUCCACCUCUGCAUGUCUGUUACUGUGUGAUGAACAGAAUUUACAAGAAAUUUUUCACAGCGUUUUAUAUUCGAUUGUUGUGUAUUUUUUGACGGUUUAUUCAAUUAUUACGUAUUUGCUUGUGUAUCAGCAAUUUUGGAGCUUCCUAACAUAACUCUUCAUCUGCAAUGCAGUGCGGAUGUGCGAUGGCACCUUCCCAUCCUCGGGUUCAAAUUCAGGUAAGGUGUCACUGAUUAUUUCCUCUAUUUUUUACUUCUUUAGCAUGAAGAUUGUGGCUUGCUACUUUCCAGUGUCAAAUCCAUCAGAACAAAUCUAAUUUAGUGGAACGGAGUAUUUUAAAACAUAGCCCACCAACCUGUUCAAAGCAUUAUAUAUGCGGCACCUAGUAGCUUCUCUUCAUACCCUUCAUUUCACUAAUGGAUUUGACCAGAACCCAGAAAAAUCUAGCUGGAACACAGCACGGAUUCCCUUUUGCCUUUCCAUUUUUAUCGCGAUGUGCUUGCUAAGUGCAAGAUUCAUCUAGAUCAACUAACUUGUCUGGGCUAAUUUAAGCUAAGUAGAAUGGUGAUCCUUGGGUUUUUACCACUGAAGUUUCCCUGAAAUUAGGUGAAAGUGCCGAGUGGGUGAGCUGCCUUAAAGCAGAAUCAAAAUCUCUGGCCCAGCCAUGACUGUGUGGCUGUGUUAAUCAAAUCACCGGGGCGGAGCUAGAAGACUAGAACAACAACACUAGCAAUUUAGUUGUGGGACAGAUAGAAGAAAAGCGCCAUUUUAACAAUUGACUGGAGUGUGAUCCGCAUCAUCAAUUUGUGGAUCUGAAUUGUUUCCUGUGAGAAAUGUCAAAAUGUGCAGAAAUUUCUAUCCAUCAGUGAUAGGUGAAACCCGAGAGAGGAAGAGGACCCUGCUUUCAGUUCUCUUUGACCAGCACAAAAAAAAAAUCCUGUCCGAUUCGGAAGCGAGUGUACCAGCGCCCUUCCGAUGAUGCCGGCCGUACUCGCAGCAGCAGCAGAGGGGAACGAUCGCUGGUACAGCACCGCCCCCACGCUGCGGCCUCGCCCGUGCGGGCGCGCUUGCCAGUUUUCGUCGCCGUCCUGCGAGCAUGGUUGCCGAGGGAGCGAGGGCCCGUAACCGAGCUCUCGCUUUCGUUGGCGACGCAGCGACGUCGCCUUGUUUGUUUUCGGAGGCGCGUCCAAGCGAUAUACCUGCAAGGUCCUAGGCUAAUUAGGAGGAUUAAAUAUGAGCUAAUUAUAAAACUAAUUAUAUAGAUGGAGACUAAUUCACGAGACGAAUCUAUUAAGACUAAUUAAUUCAUCAUUAGCACAUGUUUACUGUAGCAUCACAUUGUCAAAUUAUGAACUAAUUAGGCUUAAUAGAUUUGUCUCGCAAAUUAGUCUCCAUCUGUGCAAUUGGUUUUGUAAUUAGCCUAUAUUUAAUACUCCUAAUUAGUAUCUAAACAUUCGAUGUGACAGGAAUUUUAGAAGGUGCUAAAAACAAACACCCAUAUGUGUAGGCGGUUGGCGGCGUCUGUCCGUUUGCUCGUGUUGGUAAAGUGUUAGGGUCACACGGGAACACGCUCGUAUCUAAUGCUCGUCUCGAAAUAGGUUUCGGAGAUGCCUC
rnacentral:lncRNA from 1 species